UGGACACGCUGGGAUGUGGAUCUCGGAAGGAAACGGAGAUGCUAAGCACAGACCUCCCCUUAGAUAUGGCUCCCCCCAUUUCAGAAAGGCCAGAGGGAGUCCAGCCUCACUUUCUUAAUCAUGCAGAUGUGUCUUCAUGGCCAUAUCCAUGACCCCACCCCCAAGCACCAGUUCCCUCCUUCUUACCAAGACGUCCAUGCUAACGGGCUUCCAAAACAAUGUCAGUGUACAAGUUUCUGGAACUGUCCUGGAAAUAUAUUUUUCAAAUGGUGGUUUGCUGAAUCUCUCCAGGUGUUCAAGAGGGUUCAACCUGGGAGACUGUGAAGGCUGUAAAGUACAAUUUACACCCCAUCAAAGCAUUCAGCAAGUCAUCGUACCUUGUGGAGAUGUUUUGGAUCAGAGAACUUCCAUUAAAAUAGAAUGUUUUAUAAGAUUAAGGAAAACUGUCAGAUUUUUAUCAACUCUUCUUUUUAAUGGGCAAAAUGGGACAUAGUAUCAGACACACUACCAUUUUUACUUAAUUUUUCUCUGCUAAAUAAUAGUCUACUUUAAAAUACAUUUAUUUAAAAUGUGUAAAUGUUGAGCAUC